CCCUGGUGGCGAGUAGCGGACGGGUGAGUAAAGCAUCGGAACGUAUCCUGGAGUGGGGGAUAACGUAGCGAAAGUUACGCUAAUACCGCAUAUUCUGUGAGCAGGAAAGCAGGGGAUCGCAAGACCUUGCGCUCUGGGAGCGGCCGAUGUCGGAUUAGCUAGUUGGUGGGGUAAAGGCCUACCAAGGCGACGAUCCGUAGCGGGUCUGAGAGGAUGAUCCGCCACACUGGGACUGAGACACGGCCCAGACUCCUACGGGAGGCAGCAGUGGGGAAUUUUGGACAAUGGGCGGAAGCCUGAUCCAGCCAUGCCGCGUGAGUGAAGAAGGCCUUCGGGUUGUAAAGCUCUUUCGGCGGGGAAGAAAUUGCACGGGUUAAUACCCUGUGUAGAUGACGGUACCCGAAUAAGAAGCACCGGCUAACUACGUGCCAGCAGCCGCGGUAAUACGUAGGGUGCGAGCGUUAAUCGGAAUUACUGGGCGUAAAGCGUGCGCAGGCGGUUUGGUAAGUCAGAUGUGAAAUCCCCGGGCUCAACCUGGGAACUGCAUUUGAGACUGCCAGGCUGGAGUUUGGCAGAGGGGGGUGGAAUUCCACGUGUAGCAGUGAAAUGCGUAGAGAUGUGGAGGAACACCUAUGGCGAAGGCAGCCCCCUGGGCCAAUACUGACGCUCAUGCACGAAAGCGUGGGGAGCAAACUGGAUUAGAUACCCUGGUAGUCCACGCCCUAAACGAUGUCAACUAGGUGUUGGGAGGGUUAAACCUUUUAGUGCCGUAGCUAACGCGUGAAGUUGACCCCUGGGGAGUACGGCCGCAAGGCUAAAACUCAAAGGAAUUGACGGGGACCCGCACAAGCGGUGGAUGAUGUGGAUUAAUUCGAUGCAACGCGAAAAACCUUACCUACCCUUGACAUGUCAGGAAUCCUGAAGAGAUUUGGGAGUGCUCGCAAGAGAGCCUGAACACAGGUGCUGCAUGGCUGUCGUCAGCUCGUGUCGUGAGAUGUUGGGUUAAGUCCCGCAACGAGCGCAACCCUUGUCAUUAAUUGCCAUCAUUCAGUUGGGCACUUUAAUGAGACUGCCGGUGACAAACCGGAGGAAGGUGGGGAUGACGUCAAGUCCUCAUGGCCCUUAUGGGUAGGGCUUCACACGUCAUACAAUGGUCGGUCCAGAGGGUUGCCAACCCGCGAGGGGAGCCAAUCUCAGAAAGCCGAUCGUAGUCCGGAUCGCAGUCUGCAACUCGACUGCGUGAAGUCGGAAUCGCUAGUAAUCGCGGAUCAGCAUGUCGCGGUGAAUACGUUCCCGGGUCUUGUACACACCGCCCGUCACACCAUGGGAGCGGGUUCUGCCAGAAGUAGUUAGCCUAACCGCAAGGAGGGCGAUUACCACGGCAGGGUUCGUGACUGGGGUGAAGUCGAAACAAGGUA
rnacentral:rRNA from 1 species